rnacentral:rRNA from 1 species
GACGAACGCUGGCGGCGUGCUUAACACAUGCAAGUCGAGCGGUAAGGCCCUUUCGGGGGUACACGAGCGGCGAACGGGUGAGUAACACGUGGGUGACCUGCCCUUAGCUCUGGGAUAAGCCUGGGAAACUGGGUCUAAUACCGGAUAUGACUCCAUAACGCAUGUUGUGGGGUGGAAAGCCUUGUGCGGCUAGGGAUGGGCCCGCGGCCUAUCAGCUUGUUGGUGGGGUGAUGGCCUACCAAGGCGACGACGGGUAGCCGGCCUGAGAGGGCGACCGGCCACACUGGGACUGAGACACGGCCCAGACUCCUACGUGAGGCAGCAGUGGGGAAUCUUGCGCAAUGGGCGAAAGCCUGACGCAGCGACGCCGCGUU